rnacentral:rRNA from 1 species
AUGUACAUUCCUAAAGAAUAGCGUUAAUGUAUUGGAUCCCAUUAGAACUCUGCAGUUAAGCAUGCUUAGGCUAGAGUAGUAUUGGGAUGGGUGACCACCUAGGAAGUCCUAGUAUUUUACAUG